rnacentral:rRNA from 1 species
UACGUAGGGGGCUAGCGUUGUCCGGAAUCAUUGGGCGUAAAGAGCGUGUAGGCGGCCCGGUAAGUCCGCUGUGAAAGUCGGGGGCUCAACCCUCGAACGCCGGUGGAUACUGUCGGGCUAGAGUGCGGAAGAGGCGAGUGGAAUUCCCGGUGUAGCGGUGAAAUGCGCAGAUAUCGGGAGGAACACCAAUGGCGAAGGCAGCUCGCUGGGACGUUACUGACGCUGAGACGCGAAAGCGUGGGGAGCAAACAGG